UCUUACACAUAAGCCAAGAAAGUGGUUUCCUGAGAUGGAAUCUACUCCUGGUGAAGAUGCUGUGAA
rnacentral:pre_miRNA from 2 species